UUAGCAUUCCUAUUUUAGAAUUGAAUCAUUUUAUAGCAGCAAGCAUGUAUAAUUGUAUAUAUGUGCGCUCUUUAUAGCUGUAUGCUCAGAUUGAAAUUUAAUAAAUGGAGACAUGCGGAAUAUAUCGUGAUAAGUUAAUGGAUCUUAUUUGUUGCUGGCUCUGAAUUUGCGUGGUGUCCUUUGGCAGGGCACAGGAGGAUAGUGAAUAACCUGUUAAACACGAUGGCUACUCCAAAGGUAUAAGCAAAAUGCUCAUUUCCUUCGGACAAAUAUUUUGGUGAAAACGAAGUAGGCGAGAAACCUCAGAUUUUAUCUCUUAUUGAUUCAGCAACGUCCAGAAAAACUAAUGAUACUUUGCCGAAUUAAUCCAGUGCUUCUCAAUCGUUAUGAAUUCAACUUGCAGCUAAUGAUAAUGUGAUGGUACACUGUAAAGUUAGGUUAGGAUGAUAAAGCUUAGACAAUCUGGUAAAUCACAAUGAUUAUAACAGCCAAACACUGGAUCCAUGAAAGGCAUGUUGAAAGGAUCGGGUUUUCAUCGAAUUUCGUAACCUUCCCGCCAUCUGUUGAGCGGUAUAAAUUUAAAAGUUAAAACCCAUCUGACAUCUCUGUGUUAGCGUGCGAUUUUUGCUUCAUUAAAAUCAAAAUAUCGUAUACGACGUUCAGUAACUCAGUUAUGGCCUUAAACUAAGACAAAAAUCAAGCUUACUUACGUUUUAUAUACUAAUUAUUAAUUCAUCAUUCGAGUAACUGACUUCGGGCAACGUCACAGCUUCCGGUCUUCCCAGUUGUCACGGAAAUUCGUCUGCACUCUGCAAAUCUACACUCUACGGCCUACGUUACCACGAAGUAAGGACUUGUCUGUGCUCUCGGAUGAAUUCUUUGUUGUUUUUACCCCAAAAAUUCAGUGCUAAAAAAUAUUUUGUGCUGUGUCUGCGUCAAGAUCACCCCAGCACCAAUGUCACAAAGGCAAGUUUUUUAUAGUACAGUGUGACUGUUGAAGUCACCUUUGCUCUGGAAGAAUCCAGCGACACAACAAGUACUCAAUGUAGUGUUCAAACUCACCCAACAUUCAGUGGCAGCAACACUUAUUGUGAAACAACAUAAAAAAACAAACAGCUAGACAAAAUGUUUGUCUGAAAUCAUAAGAAUUCCUAUUUCUGGUCUACAUUGGCAUAGAUUGCAGUUCCAGGUUCAACAGCAAAUAAAGUUGAGAUUUUGAAAUCCUCAUUCAACAUGUUCGACAGCUAAUUUCUUACAACGUGAACAGCAAGAUUAUUGAGUAAGACCAAACUCUAGAAUCUCCAGGUCACGACUGACAUCAAAGAGAAUGCAGAUUGUUCCUUGCAAAACGCAUCUUUGCCGAUAAAACAGACAUUCGGGGGAAAAAUUGGCCUUGGUGAUGAAACUCUUGCGAUCUUGCCAUGGAAGAAUGUGCAGCAGUGCAGAAUGCUGCAGCUGUAACCAAAUUGGAAUUUGAAAAGCCGCCUUGUAACGAGCUCAAGUAAAUGAGGCGGAUGACUCCCGGUUGACAGACCAGCAUGAGGUGCAUAAAAUAAUUCAAAAUUUGCGGGAAUUCUCGAAGAACUAGUUGUCUUUACUGUUUCGUCGACGAAGUUGUUCGCGGUGGCCCAGGCCACCAGCGUAAAAUUUAGCUUUCGUUUAAUGAGCUUGUGCCAGUUUUACAGUGGUUUGCGAACGCGAUUGGAAGUCAAUCAAUUCUUGAUUGAAUUAAUAAAAUGAAAGGUAGUCGAUGAGGUAAGCGACGCCAGCUACGAUUCGUCUUUGUCGUUAACAGAAGGUGCGUGAGGUGUUUUCAAGCCCAAAAUCAGCAAUGGUGUCUUCUUGAUCCUGUCUCUAAAAACAAAGACGAAAACGCACAUGAA
rnacentral:lncRNA from 1 species